rnacentral:rRNA from 1 species
UUUUCUUGAUUCUAUGGGUGGUGGUGCAUGGCCGUUCUUAGUUGGUGGAGUGAUCUGUCUGGUUAAUUUCGAUAACGAACGAGACCUUAGCCUGCUAAAUAGGAUCGGGAACCUCGGUUUCCGCAUCACUUCUUAGAGGGACUUUGCGUGUCUAACGCAAGGAAGUUUGAGGCAAUAACAGGUCUGUGAUGCCCUUAGAUGUUCUGGGCUGCACGCGCGCUACACUGAUGCACUCAACGAGUUUUUGACCUUGGCCGGAAGGUCUAGGUAAUCUUUUGAGUAUGCAUCGUGAUGGGGAUAGAUUAUUGCAAUUAUUAAUCUUCAACGAGGAAUGCCUAGUAGGCGCAAGUCAGCAGCUUGCGCCGAUUACGUCCCUGCCCUUUGUACACACCGCCCGUCGCUGCAACCGAUCGGAGGGUCCUGUGAACUCAUCGGACUGACUUGCUUCUGCGCUUGCGUAGUUGCUCGUCGGGAAGUUGCGUAAAUAGAGCCCUCUAAAGGAUGCAAAAGUCGUAACACGGUUUCCGUAGGUGAACCUGCGGAAGGAUCAUUC